AGAUAAGAAAAAGAGAAAAAAGAAAACAGCUGCGCUGUACAAGUCGUGGACUAGCUGCUGUACUCUCUCCCGAAUCCCACUCCAUUUUGCCCUCUCUCUCUCUCUCUCUCUCUCCUAUGGAACCACGGCCUCCUUCUCUCUCCUCCACAGCGGUGGCCUCCACCGUCGUUCCCGCAGCCACCUCUUGUAUACCUCCUCCUCGUCCUCACGUGCCAUCAUCUUACCCCGAGUCCCUAGACUCCUCCCCUAAGUCCCGCACUACGGAUGCUUGGGACGAUCUUCCUCCUCCCGGUGGCGGCGCUUCUUCCAAACUCCGUCUCAUGUGCAGUUACAACGGUCACAUCCUUCCCCGCCCGCAGGACAAGUCGCUCUGUUACAUGGGCGGCGACACUCGCAUCAUUGCCCUCGACCGUACCUCCUCCCUCUCUUCUCUCAUCACUCGUCUCUCCAACACGCUACUCAACGGCCGCUCCUUCACGCUCAAGUACCAGUUACCCAGCGAAGACCUUGAUUCCUUAAUCUCCGUCACCACCGACGAGGAUCUCGAUAACAUGAUCGAGGAGUAUGACCGUACGAUCAGUUCCGCCAAACCUUGUCGUCUGCGUUUGUUUCUCUUCACGGCGAAGCCUGAAGCUACUCAAUCGAUGGGUCAGGUUCUAGAGAGUUCGGCUAAGAGUGACGAUUGGUUCCUCAAUAGAGGAUUCUCAGAUUCUGAUUCCGACGACAAUCGUUUACUUGGCUUGGACGAUACUCUCCGCUCUAAUCUCGUCUCCAAAGAUGACGAUGGUAAACAUCAGCAGCAGAUUCAACAGCCUCCAGGAGGUCAAGAUGUGCAUAACUUGCCCGACUCUCCGAUGUUGGAUACAUCCUCCUCUUUUGGAUCAACUUCUUCCUCUCCCUCGCUCGCGAAUCUCCCUCCGAUUCGCGUCCAUGUAGAGGAAGCUAAGGGGAUGCAGGAUCAGACGCUUGGAAUCGCAGAACAUUUCGCACGAUUCAACGUCGGGAAUAAGCUUCAAGACGACGGAUUCGCAGCGAUCUCGUCACCACCGCCGAUGCCUGCGCCGGUGAAUGCUCCAACCGUCUCAAGUGGGGUCUUCUCCGACGACGAGAGAUCCAAUCACGGUGUGCCAGCUGGAUACAGAAAACCUCCGACUCAGCAGGUGAAAUCGAACAGCCGUGGACACGAGAUGCCAUCACCCGAUUCCGUUUCCAGUGAUAGCAGCAUGAACAACUCUGUGUUUCAUCAAAGACCUUCUGUCAACCAAGAGCCAGUUUCUCAGAUGCCUUCUUGUUCUUCCACUGUAGUUACUGGUCUGACUAAUCCUUCAGAUCCAAACACACUCUUGUCACAUCAUCAGAAUCAGGACUCAAGCUACAUCCUUCACCCUCAAUAAUCUCAGCCACAACAGCAACAAUUCAUACACUCACCUCAGUACCUUCAUCACCAUCCCUCUACUGGCCUUCCUCUCCAAAGUUACAUCCAGGUUUACCCUUCCCAGCCUCAGCAGUCCUUCCACAUGCACCCUAGUCAACUAGAUCACCAGCCUUGCCCCUUUUAUUAUACCACUGCUCCAGUCCCACCUAAGCCUUACAAUAUGCCUCUCACCCAAUCUGGCAGUGUGAGUGAUUCUCUAGGGUCUCUCCCUUCUAGCCAUCCCCAGACGCUGCCUAAUUCCACCAUGAUGGCUCCACCACCUAACAAUCAUUUGAGAAAUACUCCGCAACCUACGGGUGGUGCUCAGAUUGUUCACCAGGUACCACCUAUAAGUCUGCAGCAAUUCAUGGGGUAUUCUCAGAUUCAUCACCCACCCCAGUCUGGUUCACUUGGGAUUCCCAACUAUGGAUAUGAAUAUGUGGAAAAUGCGCCCAAGCAGGUAUACUACACGCAACAGAUGGGUCACGCACAGUAUCAGAUGGUGCUGGCUGAUGGCUCUCCUGUUGCUGCUAAGCUUCCAGCUGAGAACAUGGCUCAACAGAUCCGGAGUUCACAGCCAAUGUGACACACAAGGAAGAUGGAUAACAAUUUUGGAUGAAGGAACUCUGGUUGGUUUCGGAACAUAUAAAUGUAUAAUCUUUUUUUUCUCUCUCUCUCUUGUUUUCGAAGUUGCUGCAUGCGAUCAAGUGUCUAGUUUCAUGUUUGUUUGGUAUUUAUGGACUAUGUCAAAAUAUGUUGUGUGAGUAAGUAGAGUAUAAGGUAGUAGUGUUGCUUCUUUGUAAUUUACAUUAUAGUUACGAUGGAUACUGGUUUCCUGGAUCUUAUAUCAUAUUAUUGUCAUU